CUUCGGGUUGUAAACCUUCUUUUGGCAGGGAAGAAGCGAAAAGUGACGGUACCUGCAGAAAAAGCACGGGCUAACUACGUGCCAGCAGCCGCGGUAAUACGUAGGGUGCGAGCGUUGUCCGGAAUUAUUGGGCGUAAAGAGCUCGUAGGCGGUUCGUCGCGUCUGCUGUGAAAUCCCGAGGCUCAACCUCGGGCUGCAGUGGGUACGGGCGAACUAGAGUGCAGUAGGGGAGACUGGAAUUCCUGGUGUAGCGGUGGAAUGCGCAGAUAUCAGGAGGAACACCGAUGGCGAAGGCAGGUCUCUGGGCUGUAACUGACGCUGAGGAGCGAAAGCGUGGGGAGCGAACAGGAUUAGAUACCCUGGUAGUCCACGCCGUAAACGUUGGGCGCUAGAUGUGGGGACCAUUCCACGGUUUCCGUGUCGCAGCUAACGCAUUAAGCGCCCCGCCUGGGGAGUACGGCCGCAAGGCUAAAACUCAAAGGAAUUGACGGGGGCCCGCACAAGCGGCGGAGCAUGCGGAUUAAUUCGAUGCAACGCGAAGAACCUUACCAAGGCUUGACAUAUACGAGAACGGGCCAGAAAUGGUCAACUCUUUGGACACUCGUAUACAGGUGGUGCAUGGUUGUCGUCAGCUCGUGUCGUGAGAUGUUGGGUUAAGUCCCGCAACGAGCGCAACCCUCGUUCUAUGUUGCCAGCACGUAAUGGUGGGAACUCAUAGGAGACUGCCGGGGUCAACUCGGAGGAAGGUGGGGAUGACGUCAAAUCAUCAUGCCCCUUAUGUCUUGGGCUUCACGCAUGCUACAAUGGCCGGUACAAUGGGCUGCAAUACCGUGAGGUGGAGCGAAUCCCAAAAAUCCGGUUUCAGUUCGGAUUGAGGUCUGCAACUAGACUUCAUGAAGUC
rnacentral:rRNA from 1 species